rnacentral:rRNA from 1 species
GACGAGGGAUCCUAGCGUCGUUCGGAAUCAUUGGGCGUAAAGCGGGUGCAUGUUGCUCGAUAAGUCAGGUGUGAAAUCCCAGGGCUCAACCCUGGAAGUGCAUUUGAUACUGUCGAGCUUGAGUGCUGGAGAGGUAAGCAGAAUACCUGGUGUAGUGGUGAAAUACGUAGAUAUCAGGUGGAAUACCGGAGGCGAAGGCGGCUUACUGGCCAGACACUGACACUCAGACUCGAAAGCGUGGGGAUCAAACAGG